AAAGGGUGGUAAUGCCGGAUGCUCCAUCACACCGCAUGGUGUGUUGGGAAAGCCUUUGCGGCAUGGGAUGGGGUCGCGUCCUAUCAGCUUGAUGGCGGGGUAACGGCCCACCAUGGCUUCGACGGGUAGCCGGCCUGAGAGGGCGACCGGCCACAUUGGGACUGAGAUACGGCCCAGACUCCUACGGGAGGCAGCAGUGGGGAAUAUUGCACAAUGGGCGCAAGCCUGAUGCAGCGACGCCGCGUGAGGGAUGGAGGCCUUCGGGUUGUAAACCUCUUUUGUUAGGGAGCAAGGCAUUUUGUGUUGAGUGUACCUUUCGAAUAAGCACCGGCUAACUACGUGCCAGCAGCCGCGGUAAUACGUAGGGUGCAAGCGUUAUCCGGAAUUAUUGGGCGUAAAGGGCUCGUAGGCGGUUCGUCGCGUCCGGUGUGAAAGUCCAUCGCUUAACGGUGGAUCCGCGCCGGGUACGGGCGGGCUUGAGUGCGGUAGGGGAGACUGGAAUUCCCGGUGUAACGGUGGAAUGUGUAGAUAUCGGAAAAAAACACCA
rnacentral:rRNA from 1 species